GAUGAACGCUGGCGGCGUGCCUAAUACAUGCAAGUCGAGCGAACGGACGAGAAGCUUGCUUUUCUGAUGUUAGCGGCGGACGGGUGAGUAACACGUGGAUAACCUACCUAUAAGACUGGGAUAACUUCGGGAAACCGGAGCUAAUACCGGAUAAUAUUUUGAACCGCAUGGUUCAAAAGUGAAGGACGGUCUUGCUGUCACUUAUAGAUGGAUCCGCGCUGCAUUAGCUAGUUGGUAAGGUAACGGCUUACCAAGGCAACGAUGCAUAGCCGACCUGAGAGGGUGAUCGGCCACACUGGAACUGAGACACGGUCCAGACUCCUACGGGAGGCAGCAGUAGGGAAUCUUCCGCAAUGGGCGAAAGCCUGACGGAGCAACGCCGCGUGAGUGAUGAAGGUCUUCGGAUCGUAAAACUCUGUUAUUAGGGAAGAACAUAUGUGUAAGUAACUGUGCACAUCUUGACGGUACCUAAUCAGAAAGCCAUGGCUAACUACGUG
rnacentral:rRNA from 1 species